AUUGAACGCUGGCGGCAUGCUUUACACAUGCAAGUCGAACGGUAACAGGCCUUCGGGUGCUGACGAGUGGCGAACGGGUGAGUAAUGCAUCGGAACGUGCCCAAUCGUGGGGGAUAACGUAGCGAAAGUUACGCUAAUACCGCAUAAGCCCUGAGGGGGAAAGCAGGGGAUCGCAAGACCUUGCGCGAAUGGAGCGGCCGAUGUCAGAUUAGCUAGUUGGUGGGGUAAAGGCCUACCAAGGCGACGAUCUGUAGCGGGUCUGAGAGGAUGAUCCGCCACACUGGGACUGAGACACGGCCCAGACUCCUACGGGAGGCAGCAGUGGGGAAUUUUGGACAAUGGGCGCAAGCCUGAUCCAGCCAUGCCGCGUGCAGGAAGAAGGCCCUAUGGGUCGUAAACUGCUUUUACACCGGAGAAAACCUCCCCUCGUGAGGGGAGCUGAUAGUAUGGUGAGAAUAAGCAUCGGCUAACUUCGUGCCAGCAGCCGCGGUAAAG
rnacentral:rRNA from 1 species